AUUGAACGCUGGCGGCAGGCCUAACACAUGCAAGUCGAGCGGAUGAAGGGAGCUUGCUCCUGGAUUCAGCGGCGGACGGGUGAGUAAUGCCUAGGAAUCUGCCUGGUAGUGGGGGAUAACGUCCGGAAACGGGCGCUAAUACCGCAUACGUCCUGAGGGAGAAAGUGGGGGAUCUUCGGACCUCACGCUAUCAGAUGAGCCUAGGUCGGAUUAGCUAGUUGGUGGGGUAAAGGCCUACCAAGGCGACGAUCCGUAACUGGUUUGAGAGGAUGAUCAGUCACACUGGAACUGAGACACGGUCCAGACUCCUACGGGAGGCAGCAGUGGGGAAUAUUGGACAAUGGGCGAAAGCCUGAUCCAGCCAUGCCGCGUGUGUGAAGAAGGUCUUCGGAUUGUAAAGCACUUUAAGUUGGGAGGAAGGGCAGUAAGUUAAUACCUUGCUGUUUUGACGUUACCAACAGAAUAAGCACCGGCUAACUUCGUG
rnacentral:rRNA from 1 species